rnacentral:rRNA from 1 species
GAUGAACGCUGGCGGCGUGCCUAAUACAUGCAAGUCGAGCGAACGGACGAGAAGCUUGCUUCUCUGAUGUUAGCGGCGGACGGGUGAGUAACACGUGGAUAACCUACCUAUAAGACUGGCAUAACUUCGGGAAACCGGAGCUAAUACCGGAUAAUAUUUUGAACCGCAUGGUUCAAAAGUGAAAGACGGUCUUGCUGUCACUUAUAGAUGGAUCCGCGCUGCAUUAGCUAGUUGGUAAGGUAACGUCUUACCAAGGCAACGAUGCAUAGCCGACCUGAGAGGGGGAUCGGCCAACCUGGAACUGAGACAAGGUCCAGACUCCUACGGGAGGCAGCAGUAGGGAAUCUUCCGCAAUGGGCGGAAGCCUGACGGAGCAACGCCGCGUGAGUGAUGAAGGCCUUCGGAUCGUAAAACUCUGUUAUUAGGGAAGAACAUAUGUGUAAGUAACUGUGCACAUCUUGACGGUACCUAAUCAGAAAGCCACGGCUAACUACGUG